ensembl:snoRNA Gm25133 small nucleolar RNA SNORA30/SNORA37 family
CUAGCACUUUUCACAGGUCUUCCCUUAGUCAGUGGGGUCAGGAUUUGGUAGCUGGUGCUGAGAGAAAACCCUUGAGUACAUCCUUGUCCUGAUACUGUACCAGCGGCAACUGUUACUCAAGGGAACAGUG